CUGGCCCAAAUGUAACCUUACAGCCUCCGCCAUACAUAACAAUGAAUAUACAUGUGGACAUGCUAUGGACAUACUAUACCUGGAUUUCAUGCCAAGUUUUUUUAUGAGAACUGACAAAACUUUAUCCAGGGGAUCCAUGACUCCACGUUGAAGCCACUUAGGAAUAGUGGUUCUUGCAUGAUGGAAACCAAGCUUCUGAAGAAUAUAAUCCACACCAACAGGAUCAAUCUUUCUUCCAGUCCAAGAGAUUAACCUAUAAAUUAAAACAUAUCACUUUCAAUAAGCAAGAA